ACAUGCCAGCUUCAUAAAGCGCAGCUGCUUUUCUUGCUACGUCGGCCUCGGCCAUAGUAGCGUUCUCUCUUCUUGAAAUCAGGUUUCUUUGUGUAGCAGGCACCGGUUGUUACGCUGCUUCAACCGGUCUGUGUCUAACGAUGCGGUUGUUAGGCUGCUUCAAACCGGUCUGUAUCAACUGCAUCUACAGUCUUGUCGUGCUACGUCCGCUAUCGAUCAUUCGAUGCAUAUCUCCUUCUCAGUAAAAUUAUAGGAACAAAAAGGACGCAUUUUCUUUUCUUUUUUUUUUGUCUCUCAGGAGUACUUCGACAAGUGAAGCUCGUGGAUAGCAUUGCCUUGCUUCGUCGUAGUUGACAGUUGACACCUAUACUCCUACGUGCCGACUCGAGUCCCCGUCCAGGCGUCUAUGGAAAGUGAUCAGUCAUCGCUCACAUGCGAUCGCGGCCGUCAGCGUCAUGGCCCCCGUCCCUGCCGGCCUCAACUCGGCGCAG
rnacentral:lncRNA from 1 species